CUUGGAAGGAAGACCAGCAAAAAAGGUUUGGGCAACUGAGACAGCCUCUUUUCUUUUUGCCUUGGGCCCACCCCUGGCCGGCCAUCCAUUGUCCUCCCUGGCUGAGGGUGGGUCAAAGGCCGGCUCAAGCAGGUGGGUGGCACCUGCCCAGGUGAGCCCCGCUCGGUGCCGCAAACCCCGCCCACAUGUGGGGAAGGGAGGGUGGAUACUGUCUCGGAUCUUUGGGAAGCACUCCCAUCCAGGGUUAGAGGAAGCACAAUGGGUGUGGUGGCAAGUUGGUACAGACUGGCCUACCCAGUCUAGCAGUUAUGGAAGGAAAGGAAUAUCAGGUCUCCCACCCUUCUGUUACAGCAGGUAGAUCCCCUCUCAUCCUCCAGUGGCAGUGUGUUGGAGCAGGGAUGUGCAAGGGCUGACACACUGACACUUAUUUCAUAGCAGCAACAAUGAUAGCAUCUCCGGGGUGCUAUUUCCAAGUCACCUGCAUGUCAAAUCAGCAAGUCUUUCUCAGAGAGAAUCACACCAAAUAAGCUAAGCUAAAGAAGAGGUAAACUGCAGUAGCAUACAUAGCUAGGGGUUAAGCUACAAUUUUCAUUUUUAAAAAUUCCAAAAUCCAUCGGAGUGCUUCUUCAGGCUGACUGCUAAGAAAGAGGAGUGAGGAAAAGGCUAGCUUGGUGUUUUUAAGACAUGGUGAAUCCAUUAGUCAAAAAACAUUUAGUUUUGUUGAGUGUUAAAAAGGCUGUGGCUAAAGAGUGCUUUAGAAUUCAUCACUUCACCACUGUCCCCCCAAACACAUUGCAACAAUGCUGGAGGUUCUGGGCACCCACCAGCCCUUUUCCUUGUUACACUGGCAGAGGGGGGCAGUUGCCACUGCAGUAGGCCGGGGUAGGUGGGUGUUGAAGGGUUUAACAAUUACAAAUUGUAGCAAAAGAAAGAAAGAAAACUUUUUGGUGCACUUUCAAUUGUAAAUCACUGCUUCCAAUCCACAUCAGUCUGGGAGAAUUUACCCAUCACUAUGCUGGACUGCUGUGAGGCUGUAAGUUUAUUUUCUAAAUGAAGUCAUUUCUACAUUCUGAAAAUUGGACAGUAUCCCCUAAUAAAGCAAUGUUCUGAUCCAUUAACUCUCUGCUGUUCGCCACACUGGAACUUGAUGAGGAGCUUUUAUUGGCAGAGACUCUCAAAAUAUAUUAAAAAAUCUGAGCUUCAUUUUGAGAUGAGUGAACAACUCCCCCCCCCUUCCACCUUUGUCCUGGAUUAGCAUAUUUCCUUUCUGCCCUCCCCAAAGGGUCUCCAUUUCUCUGUCUCUUCUCAUCACCCAGAGUAAUUUGGGGCUGUUAGAGAAAGUUCAUUGCUGUAAUUGCAACCAGAUUGGUCAUUAAAGUUGACAGACAGCUGCUGGGAAAGUCGCUCAUUGAUUCCUGCCACUCAGAAGCAGCUCCCAGUGCCUGCUCAAAGGACAAGCUGGGAAAGGCAGUGCAUUCUUUCUACCUCAAGGAACAAUAGUUUCUGGGGGGAGAACGUGCUCAGAACUCAUGCCUUCAUAUGUAAACAAGGUUCACAUGCAGCUUUGCUAAAUCAAGCCAGACUAGUCAGCAAACGAAAGAUUCCCCUGGAGCUCUCUCUUAUGGUACAAAGUUGGUAAUGCAUUUUUGAAAGAUUAUGCUUUAUCCUUGCAGCUGAGAGAACAGCUUACCUCCCAGGAUCUUUAGGAAAACAGGAAUACCAUACACUGUGCAUAGGUUCUCAGUUCCUGAUUGAGAUUGCUUUUCUGAAGCGGAACUCCCUAGCUCCUUCUGUCCAUUUAAUAAUAUGAAAACGGAUAGGCUGAGCCCUCCCUUCCACUUGUUUGCAGUGACACAGAUUUGAAACCUGCAGCUCAGGAAUGAACCUGUUUUGCGACAUCAUGGGAAUAUAUACCAUUUUACACCACCACAAAAAUAGCUCACAAGGACUAGACUGAGAUGAAUGUUUGCUCACCUUUAAUCUGAGGCUUUAGGUUAGGCGUUGCAACCCCAUGCACAUUCACCUGGCAGCAAUUCCCGUUGAGUAAGUAGGACUUUCUUCUGAACAGGCAUGCCUGAGAUUGUACAGUUAAAUAUCCACACUGGAAGCCGGGGUUUUUUGAAACGGGUUUCAGCAACCACAGGAAGUUUCCUGAUAUAAGUAUUUGUUCACUGUCUUUAAAAGUUAUAAAACUUUCCCCUGGGGAAAUCUAACUGAAUUGUCACUACAGGAUUUGGACCAGGCACCUCUUUCACAGGGGAGCAGAAUAAUGUUGCUGUACCAGCUCAGUUCCAAUUGUAUUUUCAAAAGUGUGGCCAGAUACAAGAGGGGGGAGGAGGCUCCUAUACCUAGAAUAGCUGAGUUGAAGGGACUUUCAGCAGGUGUAGCUUGCAUCAUUAAUAAGCAACACCUGCUGCAAUUACCUCUUCCAAACAACUAUUACAGGUGCAGGAACCCUCUCCUUUUUUGCACUUGGCCACCUUAUUUUCAAGGCACCCCCGAACUCUUAUGGUUGACAGUUCCUCCCUCCACCCUUUCAAUUUUCAUGAGAAAUUUUGUGUGUGUGUGUGUGUGUACACACACACACACACACACACACACACAGCUUUUCCCCAUGGGGUACUCAAGGGUACAGAGUACCAGCCCCUCUUUUUUGGGUUGUUAAAAAGUGUGACACUUACAGUAACAACUUCAUGGUGAGUACCGGGUCCUCUGUGAUUCAAGAGCAGGGCUGUAGCCAGCAUUUCUUGCUUGGUAGAUCAACGACAAAAUGAAUGAGAAAUCAGUUAUUUCCUGUGAAUUAACACAAAGCUUUAUGUGCCCAUACGUGUGUGUUUUUACACUUUACCAUCCCUAAGUGCUUCUGAAAGUCCUAAGGGACUUUGAGAUUAGCCACAUGGUGGUGGGCCUUUAUGCUAGAACCCUGAGAUAAAACAAUGAAAGUAUGUUAUAAUAUCUAAUGGGCCACAGUAUUUGUUAAGUGGGGAGAGGAAAACAAUAGAAUGAUAGAAUUGUACAGUUAGAAGGGACCCCUAGGGUCAUGUAGUCCAACUUCUACUAAAGCAUCCAUGUGACAAGUUUUUUACAGCAUUAAAAAUUGUGGCAUACUUUGUGGUAAGACCCAUCAUUGCUGAGUGUGGUACCCUUCUUUUUGUUGUAAUUUGACUGUGUUUGCUAGCUUCAUCUAAGAUUACUUUAUGCUGUUGGUGGACACAAGCUUGAUUUCUCUGGUGCCCAAAUAAAGGGCUAUUGCAGCAGAGUACAACAGAAAACAGGCAAGACACAUAGAUAUGUUAUCAAUUUUCUAGAAACAAAAAGAAAAAAUCUCUCCCCAGCAUCCAUCAAUAGUUCCUUCUGAUUACUGCUUCCUGCUUAAUAAUUUAGAGAAAGUAAAUAUAUGGAAUCUAAUACACAAUGUGAGCAGGGGGAAACAGCUCAGUGAAGAAUGGCAGCUCACAACUGUCUUGGUGGCGAUCUUACACGCCAGAAUUUAUAAUUAAAGGAUCUGUAUACAUGUUAUGACUAUUGUUCAGAGGUCAUUUGAAACAGCCUCUGCUUGGUGUCUUUUCCAUAACAUGUAUCAUGUAACACCACUCUCUGUACAAUCCUGACUUAUUGUGUAGACUUGGAGAGCUUGGUUGUGGGUACUCUCCAUGAGAGGCACUGGUAUCACAUGGAGAGAAGUAUUAUGUUACUGAGGUGGCAUUACUCACUGUUUCAACAUGAAGAGGAUUUUGCAUGCUAAUUCGAAGUCCCAUAGAAUGUUUAGAACAAGCACAGGAUUGACGGAAUAGUCAACAAAUAGUCAAAUGAAUACUAAAUUUUCUUGGAAACCUGAUCUAAAGUACUCAGCUUAAUCAAGCAGCUCAUUCAAUGUCUUGUCUUUGACAAUUAUGCAUGAUGCCAAGUUAUAUGCAGGAUCAGAUUUCUCUGGAUGAACCAGUAAGGGGGAUGGGGAUAGCUUCCAAGAAAAUCACCAAACACACUAGCAACACCACCCAGCAUCAUAUGAGCAUACUUGCAGAUGCUCACAUGUUGCACUAGAUAACUGGUGAUGUUAUCCAGCUGUUCAGGUUAUUGCUGAUUUUCUGACCUGCUCUGCACCUACAUAGGCCUAUAAACCUUCUAUGCAACACCCAUUUGUGAAUGCAGCUCCUCAUUUAGAGAAGGAUGCGUAUAUAUGCCUUAGAGAAUUGGGAAUCUGAUCAGGCUGUGAAUUAAAACACAAGUCUCUUGCUAUAAAAGGCUAGAUGUGAAGGUGCAUAUUCUUUGGCUAUAGGAGAGAUAUCGUGGAAAUGUCCUCAGGAUCAUACCGCAGGCCAGGUACAAAUGAAUAUUCCCAUACGCUAAAUGGAGAGUCAGCACAGAAAACAAAAUCUCCCCCAUUAUCAUUCCACAACCUAAACAAGUAUUUCCUCACUCUUAAUUAUUUGAUAGUCACAAGUAUUUCUCAAUAGUAUGACUUUUUUUUUUAGAAAACAGUUAUUGCUGGGGAAAAUGUUUCUUUGUUAAGGAAAAAAAAUCAGUACAUGUAGCUAGAUGGCAGUGUUUAACCUUCUUCUUCUUCUUCAGCCUCUUGAGUUUUAAGUGCUUGGCAUGUUGCAAAAAUAAAUUGGAGAUUAAAUAUUUCGUUUCGCAUCUCCCGUUACUGAUUUAUUACUGGUGCAACACAGCAAGUAAAUAUCCCUCACUGGUUUAGCAAGUGCAAGCAGUAGUAAAUCCUACCUAUCCCAAGCCAAGCUCGCUCAGGAACAAGAUACAGAUAUUUUUAUCCAGUAAACUUUAUUUAUAUAUAACAACAGUACAAAGUGAGUCCUUGGAUUGCAAAAUAGGAGUGUUUCAUAUUUACAAUAGGUACACAAUAAUAUAUUAGAAUAACAAAAACCUUUUUCCCCCUUGGAACAUUUUUUUAAAUACUUCAGCUUUCUUACAUUCCCCCCCACAACACUUGUAAAAACAACAAAAACCAGACAACCAUCUUAAAAAAAAAUAUAAUACAGAACUCCAGUGUGUCAAGUAUAAAGGAGGAGGAAGAGGAUGAGAAAAUGUUUAGGGUAGUGUUGAGUGGGUACAUGUAGGCUAUGCAGUCCAACAGUCUUACCAGACUGCUGCAGCAAUUCAGUUCCAGGAAUGGGACAAAUUAAAUAGAAGCCCUUUCUCAUGCCACCUCAAAUCUUCCUUACGGUACUCAACUGGAUCAUUAUUAGAAAUCCCACCAGAUUAAUUCCACAAGAUUUGGGUCCUCUCUAUUAUUAUUUUUGAUAUUAGUGCAGUUACAGAACGAAACAUCAAAUGAGAAUAUAGAUUCCUUGUAGCACAACACUGGAAAGGAAUCCACCGAGCAUGGCAUCGUCAGGGCCCCCAUCCAUUUUAACAAGGCUUGGUAGGAGCUGCUCGGUGGAUUCGGCUGCCAGUGCUGUCUGAACAUACUUGGCUGUAAAUAACCCCCAUCCUGCUGUCAGGCACAAUGAAAGCUUGUGGACAAGACCUAUAUCAUGCUCACAAUAAAUCUAGAAAGUGUUUUGAACAUUUCAAAACAAAAGCACCAUUUCAGAAACUGUUUGUGCAAAGUACGGUCCCUGUAAACCUUCCAAUAUCUUGUUCCAAGAUCACUGGGACAUUAUCUAAGCAGAAUGUUGACAGCAAAUUUUGAAACGCCAACUAUUUUUACUUUUCAGAAAUGGUACUAAAUUUUGGAGAAUUAAAACUGUCAGGUACCAAAGUUCCCUUUUUACUUAUGAACAAGUUGUCAAGUGUAUUUUGGUAUCUCCCCCUCCCCAAUUUUAUAGUGUCCUAUUAAAAAAGCGUCCAUUUUUGGCCAACAACAUGGUUUUAAAAAAACAACCAUAUGAAAAGUUGGUUUAAAAAUGUUACUGACUUCUCUGAAGCACCACAUGCCUUGUAACAAGACAAAACAAAAGAUAUGGAAGGUUUAAAGUGUCCACACUUCUGCUUGUUUAUUGGUAUAAAUGUAUUUUUCAGACUCAGACCCUCAUCAGGUUUCAUCUGUGAAGGGGGGAAAUACACAGACAAGAAGGCAAAACACAGACAACAUAAAAGAGAAAUUCUGGUCAAAAACAAUAGACAAACACAGACACCUAAGCAUUAACCACAUUGAAAACAAACUGUGUUUCAGUUACGUGACCUGAUUGAUUCCAUAUGUUGAAAAACAAUGGCAGUCUCAAAUGACUAGAUGAGAUGAAUUGCGUUAUGUUCUUCAAAUUUUCCUGAUGCUGUGUUUGUUGCUAAUAGGAGCUGAACACAGCAUCUAAGCAGAUUCUCUCCCUGCCUGCAUCUGAGGUAAGGAUACAGAUGUACCACAGAGCCUUGAAAUGUUAUGGAGGGAGCUCUCUACAUUGAUUCCUUAUGAAAUCCCUUCAAGAUGGUCACCAGAUCUGAAAAUUGUUUACAGCAGGGCUGUGGAAGCUGUGGCCCUCCAGAGGUUGUUGAACUACCUCUCCCGUCAUCUCUGACCAUCAGCCAUGCUGGCUGUGACUGAAGUUCAACAAUUGCUAGGGGGUCACUUGUUCACCAUCCCUGGCUUACAGAUGCAUAAAUGAUUACACAGGGUUCUGGAAUUCAUUUGUAUCCUCAAUUUGUCUGGAAACACUGCUUUUGGUUCCCAGGAUGGCUUUAGGACAGGGGUCAGAAAACUUUUUUCAGCAGGGGGCCAGUCCACUGUCCAUCAGACCUUGUGGGGGGCCAGACUAUAUUUUUUGGUGGGGGGGAAUGAAUGUAUUCCUAUGCCCCAUAAAUAACCCAGAGAUGCAUUUUAAAUAAAACAACACAUUCUACUCAUGUAAAAACACGUUGAUUCCCAGACCAUCUGUGGGCUGGAUUUAGAAGGCAAUUGGGCCAGAUCCAGCCCCUGGGCCUUAGUUUGCCUACCCAUGCUUUAGGAGGAAGAAUGAGUGCACUUUCUUUUUUGCACUUCUGAUGUAAUGUAUCAAGAGAAAAUUUGCAAUCUCUUCUGGUGAGAUACCUGAUUCCCAGCUCAUUCUUCUCACUCUGAGAGAACUGAGGGAAAAGGUCCCCAUUUGCAAGUGACAUAAGAAGUCCAAAAAGAGAAAGAACAGCUGACUCAUGCUUCUUCUCAUUUCCUAGUAUUGUGAGACACUGCUAGUUAUAUAUACUAAGUGAAGAUGUACAUUUGGAAGGGGGGGGGAGGAAAGUCACAGAAGAUCUCAAGAAUAUUUCAAAACACUACAAAAUCCUUCAGAGACAUAUUUUACUGGAAUUCCACAGAACCAUUUUUUAAAUUCCGAUGAAGUCUUUCAAAAGGAAAUACAUUCAAAAGGUGUUUCAAUUUUAAAACAUUUUUUUUAAAAAAAUCUUCUAAAACUGAAUGACCUGCAUUUAGAUUGUGGCCUUUCCUCAGCACAUUGGUUUAUGGGCUAUGAUUUCUUUCAGAAACUCCUCUAAGAGUAGGCUAAUGCAUCGAACUCAAAUUAACAUCCCUUGAUACAUAUCCCUGUCUACAAAGGUAAGGUGCCUUAUCUGCAUUACACUGGCAAGGUAUGAGGUUGAUUGGUAGUCAUCACACACAGAUACAAAAUGAGGGAGAUCUGUUUAUUGUUGAUAGUUUUGGAAAAUUCAGUUAGUAUCUUGAAAAAUGAUGCAUGUCUCUUGAAUAUUUUUCACUUAGCUCCCACUGCUGUGCUCACUGGAUGGGAUCUUGGACAGAUGGGUAACAGUUAAUGGGAACCAGAACUAACUGGGGGAAGAGAGAGAAGUUAUCUCUGGAAACACAUUUAUUAUUUAGAAGAUCAGACUGCUGACUAGCAAGUAAACAUAUACAGUUAGCAUCUCUGUGUAUUGUUACUGGCUUGUGGUUUAUAGUACAAAUGGAAUGCUGAAAUCUGAUAAACUCUAGCUCUGCUGGAGUUUAAAUGGCUCUUUCAUGUUGGGUAUUUAUUCUUCUCCAACUACUCCUGCUGCUGUGUCCUUUUUCACCAGGGUUGAGUCUCCACUCAGCCUCUCUCUCCUCCCCCAAAGCUUAAUCAGGUCUGGCUAUUUUUGUUUCAUUUUGCCUGUUGAACUGACUCCCAUUGACAGGUGACUGUAGAUAAUACUGGAGCCUAAAAGGAGGGCUGAAGGGGAAGUUGCAGCACCUGGCGAUGCUAAUGGGAACUGCUCUCAUUCUUACGCAAGUUGAAAUAAGAGUUCUCUCAAACUGGAGCUUUCUGGGGAUGUUCUCAAUCCUUCAUCCAGGUGUAAUAAUAAUAAUAAUAAUUUUUUAUUUAUACCCCGCCCUCCCCAGCCAAGGCCGGGCUCAGAG